rnacentral:rRNA from 1 species
AACGAACGCUGGCGGCAUGCCUAACACAUGCAAGUCGAACGAUUGCCUUCGGGUGAUAGUGGCGCACGGGUGCGUAACGCGUGGGAAUCUGCCCUUAGGUUCGGAAUAACAGCUGGAAACGGCUGCUAAUACCGGAUGAUAUCGCGAGAUCAAAGAUUUAUCGCCUGAGGAUGAGCCCGCGUUGGAUUAGGUAGUUGGUGGGGUAAAGGCCUACCAAGCCGACGAUCCAUAGCUGGUCUGAGAGGAUGAUCCGCCACACUGGGACUGAGACGCGGCCCAGACUACUACGGGAGGCAGCAGUGGGGAAUAUUGGACAAUGGGCGCAAGCCUGAUCCAGCAAUGCCGCGUGAGUGAUGAAGGCCGGAGGGUUGUAAAGCUCUUUUACCCGGGAAGAUAAUGACUGUACCGGGAGAAUAAGCCCCGGCUAACUCCGUG